rnacentral:rRNA from 1 species
UACGGAAGGCAGCAGUGGGGAAUAUUGCACAAUGGGCGCAAGCCUGAUGCAGCCAUGCCGCGUGUAUGAAAAAGGCCUUCGGGUUGUAAAGUACUUUCAGUCGUGAGGAAGGUGUUAAGGUUAAUAACCUUAGCAAUUGACGUUAGCGACAGAAGAAGCACCGGCUAACUCCGUGCCAGCAGCCGCGGUAAUACGGAGGGUGCGAGCGUUAAUCGGAAUUACUGGGCGUAAAGGGCACGCAGGCGGUUAAUUAAGUUGGAUGUGAAAUCCCCGGGCUUAACCUGGGAAUGGCAUUCAAGACUGGUUAGCUAGAGUCUUGUAGAGGGGGUAGAAUUCCAUGUGUAGCGGUGAAAUGCGUAGAGAUGUGGAGGAAUACCGGUGGCGAAGGCGGCCCCUGGGACAAAGACUGACGCUCAUGUGCGAAAGCGUGGGGAGCAAACAGGGAUUAGAUA